GAAGCCUCAGACGGGACACAGCAUUUGACGAAGUAUCAUGGUGCUGUUGGUACGGUGGUUCUUGGCCUCUGCGUCUUUCGUCGCCAUCCACGCCUACCUUCAGGAGUUCACGGGCUCUACGACUACGGAUCUCCCAGUACCUACAUUUAACGUGGAAGAUAUCCCGAAUGGCAACUAUGGGUCUGGAGACGAAUUCAACGAGAUGGAUUUGUUUGGGGAUGACAUCAUACUGAACGAGGAACAGCGGCGAGCCAUCUGGGAGAGGAAGGCCUAUAUUAUACCCAGUUCACGCUGGCCUGAAGGUUCAGAUGGUAACCCUCUGGUUCCAUACCGAUACCUUGGCCUCCCUAGCGGACACAUCUCUGCAAUCCAGGCGGGCAUCAACUCCUGGAUGGAACACACGUGCAUCAAGUUUGAGGAAACCACCAACACCAACCAAUCGCACAUCAUAUUUAUAUUGGGGUCAGGUUGUUCUUCCUACAUCGGCAUGCAGAGCAGUAACGGUCAAUAUAUCAGUAUUGGCAAUGGCUGUCAGUUUGUUGGUACAGUUGUUCAUGAAAUCUUCCACGCAUUAGGUUGUUUCCAUGAGCAGAGUUCAACCAACCGAGAUGACUACGUCAAUGUUCACUAUGAAAACAUAAUAAGCACGAAAAUUUAUAACUUUAAUAAGCAUUCAACUGCUAUAGUCAGCAACUACGGUCUUCCCUACGACCUUUCUUCAGUCAUGCACUAUGGUUCUAAGUACUUCACAUGGAAUGGGAAGUUGACCAUCACAACCAACGAUCCACUGCAUCAAGGAAUUAUAGGCCAGAGGAGUGGACUCAGUUUUUAUGACAAGUUGUUGGCCAAUCGCAUGUACAAUUGUACAGACAAGUGGUUGACUGCUUGUGGCUUUAACUCCGAUCCGUGUAACAACGACGGCUACAUAGGAAGCAACUGUAAGUGUGUGUGUCGCCCGGGCACAACUGGCAACUAUUGUGAGACCAUCAUUGGCGGGUACUACGAUGGACUCUUAUCGCCCUGUACAGAAGUGGUGACUCAACCGGGCAUCAUCACCUCACCUAACUUCCCUGACCCGUACCCAAAGAGUACUGCGACAAGGAUAUCUCUCCAGGAGACACGUUCGUCUCUGUUACCAACGAGAUAAUACUUUAUUUCCAGACAAAAUCUAACUUGCUGAAUGGCUGGUCAGCAACGGUUUCCUUUAUCCCAAUACCUGGCUGUUUGCCGAGUUACUGUACAUCUUAAGACUCCUGAGGAAGACCAGCCACGGAGUAGAGACGUCAUCCCUGAUUUAACUUGCCAGGGGCAUUAACAAAGUAUACCUUGGUUAUUUACAGAGCAAAUGCAUUUUUUUCAUUUUUUUACUUUAAUCCAAUAAAAUUAGUUUAUUAAUAGAGUAUUGUUUAUACUAGUUUAAUUAAGUGAAGAUUUCAGGCACUGACGCCGCCUUCAGUAACAAGAAUUUCUUAUUGUAUAAUAAUUUUUAUUAAUGUUUCAAUAUAUGAUUAUACAAAUGUUCUUUAGACUCUUGCUUUUAAGUCUGCCAAGAUUACUUUAUCGUCUCUACUGAUUCUUUAUCAUUAGCAUAUAGUACUAUCAUGUCUUACAGAACACAGUCGUCUGGUGAGGCAAAUUUACCAUCAGUAAUUUUAAGGCGACUAACAUUUGACUUUUACUGAACUGUAUUUUCGUAUAUCCAACAUAAAAGUAGUGACAUGUGCGUAUGAUUACUUAACCACCAUACGCUUUAGACUGAGACAGUACGGCUCAGUCCUACGGUAUCUAAUCGAAUAAAUUGGAAUAGCAGAA
rnacentral:misc_RNA from 1 species